CCUACGGGGGGCAGCAGUGAGGAAUAUUGGUCAAUGGGCGUAAGCCUGAACCAGCCAAGCCGCGUGAGGGAUGAAGGUUCUAUGGAUCGUAAACCUCUUUUAUAAGGGAAUAAAGGCCGGGACGUGUCCCCGUUUGAAUGUACCUUAUGAAUAAGGAUCGGCUAACUCCGUGCCAGCAGCCGCGGUAAUACGGAGGAUCCGAGCGUUAUCCGGAUUUAUUGGGUUUAAAGGGUGCGUAGGCGGCCUUUUAAGUCAGCGGUGAAAGUCUGUGGCUCAACCAUAGCAUUGCCGUUGAAACUGGAAGGCUUGAGUAUGUUAGAGGCAGGCGGAAUGCGUGGUGUAGCGGUGAAAUGCUUAGAUAUCACGCAGAACCCCGAUUGCGAAGGCAGCCUGCCAGGCCAUGACUGACGCUGAUGCACGAAAGCGUGGGGAUCAAACAGGAUUAGAUACCCCAGUAGUC
rnacentral:rRNA from 1 species